rnacentral:rRNA from 1 species
AUGAACGCUGGCGGCGUGCCUCAUCCCUGCCAGUCGCGCGAACAGACGAGGAGCUUGCUCCUCUGACGUUAGCGGCGGACGGGUGAGUAACACGUGGAUAACCUACCUAUAAGACUGGGAUAACUUCGGGAAACCGGAGCUAAUACCGGAUAAUAUAUUGAACCGCAUGGUUCAAUAGUGAAAGACGGUUUUGCUGUCACUUAUAGAUGGAUCCGCGCCGCAUUAGCUAGUUGGUAAGGUAACGGCUUACCAAGGCAACGAUGCGUAGCCGACCUGAGAGGGUGAUCGGCCACACUGGAACUGAGACACGAUCCAGACUCCUACGGGAGGCAGCAGUAGGGAAUCUUCCGCAAUGGGCGAAAGCUUGACGGAGCAACGCCGCGUGAGUGAUGAAGGUCUUCGGAUCGUAAAACUCUGUUAUUAGGGAAGAACAAAUGUGUAAGUAACUAUGCACGUCUUGACGGUACCUAAUCAGAAAGCCACGGCUAACUACGUG